CCUGAGAAACCCAAAAGAUCGAAUGGGGAGAUUCAUCGUCAGCGAUUUUGGUACGUGUGCGGUCUCGCGAUGCCGGUGACUUCGGUCUCCAGGCACGCGUCCGCAUGUCUUUUAUUGCCUCGAUCGUCGGCGUGCACUUCUCCCCUAGUAGGACGUCGCGACCCGUUGGGUGUCGGUCUACGGCCCGGGUGGUAGCCUGUCUCGUGUGCGCUUCGCGGCGUUACGCGGUUCAGACCCCCGGUUGCCCGACCGGCUGCCCGGCGGUACUCGUACGGUAUCUGGCCGCAAAUAUUCGAACUGCGUCCGGCCCGUCGCAAGCGAGUCAAGUGUUUCCCGGUUGUACGGAUCCAAUGCCGUCACCGGGCCUUGUCGGCUGUUGGUUGACGGUGUCCUAGGACUGGCCAAAUCAAUUAUGAUACCGGUCGGCGACGCUACUGCUUUGGGUACUUUCAGGACCCGUCUUGAAACACGGACCAAGGAGUCUAACAUGUGCGCGAGUCAUUGGGAACUAUUAAGCCUAAAGGCGCAAUGAAAGUGAAGGUCGGCCUUGCGCCGACCGAGGGAGGAUGGGCCGCGUUACGAUGCGGUCCCGCACUCCCGGGGCGUCUCAUUCUCAUUGCGAGAAGAGGCGCACCCAGAGCGUACACGU
rnacentral:rRNA from 1 species